CUCAAACCUGUGUUCUCUGCGUUGGCAGGCAGAUUCUUAACCACUGUGCCACCAGGGAAGUCCCUUAAAUAUAAUUUUAACAUCUAGCUGUUAGGUGUUGAUUCCAUCACAUAUGGUGUAGUGUUUAUUAAACAACCCACAAUAAAUUCAUCUAUAACAAUACAACUAAUAAUAAUUUUUGGUUGAAAGGUUCUACCAGCAUUCAGAAUCUACAACCAACCCACGACACCACUGAAGAUCUAGUGAUAAUUUUCUUCUUGUGAAUUGUGGUGAUUCCAACUUUUCAAAUGUGUUCUAGGGGUUUUUGGUGUUGUCCAUUUGUAUUAAUCAGGAUUCUCCAGAGGAACAGAACCAAUAGGGUGUGUGUGUGUGUGUGUGUGUGUGUGUGUGUGUGUGUGUGUGUAGAGAGAGAGAUGAGAUGAUUUAUACUAAGAGGUUUAUUAUAAGGAAGUGACUCACUUGCUCAUGGAGGCUGAGAAGUCCAGAUCAAGGAGAGCCAACGGUAGAGUUUCAGUCUGAAUCCAAGUGUGAAGGCAGGAGAAGACUGGUGUCCCAGCCCAAAGACAGUCAGGCAGAGGGAAAGAAUUCUUUCUUAGCCUUUCUUCUAUUCAGGUCUUCAGCAGAUGGGUGAAGCCCACUCACAUCGGAAGGGCCUUCUGCUGUACUCAGUCAACUGAUUCAAAUGUUAAUCUCAUCUAGAAACGCGCUCAUGGAAACAUACAGAAAUAAUGUUCAACCAAAUACCUGAGGACCCCGUGGCCCCGAUAAGUGGACACAGAAUUGCCCGUCACAGUCCUGGGCAGCAGACUCUGCAGUGGGCACCCAGUCCCUGGGCAAUUCUGAUACCGCCUCAGCUUUGUCCUAGAGACGCCACAUUUUAGACACUCCGCGUAAACCACUUGGUCAGUUCCUAGUAAGCAGCCUUCAUUUAUACACGACAGUGUGGAAGUGUGGAACUGUGCACUUCUCGCCAAUCGGGACUGAGUAAAGGACGUGAACUUUUGGGUCCUGGCUCUUGGAGGCCAGCUGUGGGCCUUGGCAUCAUUUACGGAAAAUGUUUCUGGGAGCAGUGCCUGCCACCCUGGAAAUGACACCAGCUCCGGGGAGUCCAGUCCUGGCUCUGCACCUCACUGUCCGCAGCCUGAGAUGAGUCUUCAGCCACUUGGGGCCUCCGUUUCCUUAGUCGACACAAGGACCACUCCCGAGUGUGGCUGGAGAGCCUGGCUGGUGGCUGAUGAGCUGGAGACGUUCAGCAAGUGUCAGAACCGCUCCCCACCCCCACCCCCCCGCCCCUGCCAUAGUUAUCUUAAAAGUAGAUGCCUGGUUAAGUGUACGUCUACCUGUGUAUCAUCAGCAUGAAUCAGUGACCUCGUGGGUCCUACGUUUUAGGUCUGAUCUGUUUUUUUUUUAAGCCACUGCUGUCUUUUCCGUGGACUGGUUAGUAGUGUGUCUUCUGUCAUCUUCCUUGAGAGGAGGUGACAGAAUUUCGACAGAGCCUCACUUGGUCCCGUUAUGCUUCACCCACUGAUGUCACAAACGAGCUGUUCAGCCAUCUGAAGAGGAAAAUGCAGUCUCUUUCUCUGUGUCAUCUGUCGUCAUGGCCUAGGCAGAGGGUGAUGAGAGACCACGAUUUUAAAGUCGGCAGCAGAAUGGGUGAACUUUCCUCCUCUGUUAAAUGGCGGUUGUCGUGAGAACCAGUUCGCGCAGGACGCGGUGUUGUCACCACUGUUGGUUUUUGCCUCAACACAUCCAGACCUCUAAGCUCUCGUGUGGUUCGCGUGCGGCUUCGUGUAAGUUCCCCACUUUGAGGUUUCUCAUGUGUCCUCUGUAUAGACCAGAGCUUGGCAGAGUACGAACCUACAUCCUUCUCCCACUGGUACCCCUGGGAGAACCCGUAAGAGAAGAAAAGUGCUGAAAAACAUACUCCUCAUCAUGGGUCGGAGUUAAUAAAAGCCAGCCAAACAGCUGGAUGUCCAGAACACCCAGGAGGCAGAGGUCACUCGCUGAUGGUGCUGAUGACAUUUCUGCGGGGAGCAGCCUCCCGCGUGCCAGGGAAACGGCCCCGUGGAGGCGUGUAACUUCUUGUCCCCAGGCUCUUCCUGACACUGGCUUCUCGGGAGCACGCGUCCUUGAGGAACUGAAGAGCCUCUGUGAUAUAUUCAACCUGAGUUUUCGCUCAUGGAGGCUUGAGUGAGGGGAGAUUUGGAAAGACCGUGCCGUUCGGCGAGGACCUGUCUGAGUUUGCGCCUGAAGGUCUGGGGUGGGGCUCCUGAGAAGGGUUGGACGGAAAUCACUUGGAACUUGAGCUUCGGUCUUUGUAGCACCCUCGGCAGCCAGUGCGCGUUCAGCUGCCUGGCAGAAGUAGCUUUUCAACCUCCAGGGUGUUUGUGUAGCAUCUUUCGUCACGGAAGUCGACUUCCCCGUCUUCCCAUGACCGCCCUGGGACCAGUCUGGCGUCCGGGAGAUGAGGGAGCAGCGGGAGAGAUGCGCUCUGCUGUCCGUGGAGCACGGCCUCGGCAGGCCCCUCCUCGCUGCUCCGCUCUGCACCUUGAUUAACCGGCCUGUGGUGUAUCACCAGAAAUCCAGGCAAGGGCAAAACGGAGUCAGUAUCAGUUAGCUAAAACAGGAACGGACUUCCCACAGAGACCCCAGGAUGGAGCUGUACUCAAGGCGGCCCUUUCAAACACAGGUCUUCCCAAAUAAUGAGCCGUAGAAGAUUUCAUUUAGGGCCUACUUGUUUAAAGAAAUUAAAAACUGAAAUUAGCAGCUGAAAUCCACUUGGAAGAGUCUGCUAUCCCUUUAAUACGUCUGUCUGUUCCUCUCACUGAGACAUCCCAGUCCUUCCUCCGAAGUGAUUUGAAUACUUAAUAUUUGCCGAAAUGCUUUAGUUGGAUUUGAAUAACGUAAUUGAAUUUCUCCUGCUGCAUUCAGGGUACGUGAAGGCUUGGGAGUUCCUGUGGUAAGAUGUGGAUGUGCUUAUUUUUAGAAGUGAUUCUUACUUAUUUCUCUGUCUGCGAGCCAAGAAUUAAUAAGCAGUGGGCCUGCCAGACAGAUGAGGCUGUAUUCAUCAGGGUUCCAGGCUUUAUCUGCCACUCUCCAGGUGAAUGGCUUGUCUCUGGGGCUCAGAGAUGAUCUGCCCAGUGACAGGUUUGGGUUGAGCUGAACUGGAUAUAGAUUGGAUGCCAUGUUUUCUUAGGAACCUCAUCGUAAACAGGAUUGUUAUAAAGUAAGAUCCUGACUACGUGCCACUGCUUUGUGGACAGCCUAGGGAGAGAGACAGAUGAACUGGAAGGUCUAACCACGCAGUCGGCACUGGGAAAGAGAUAUGGCCAGGGCACAGAGGAAGGAAAUCUUUAUCCCUGGGGUAAUCGUGGAAGGCUUACCAAAGAAUCUUCAAGAGGAAUUGGAAGUUAUCCCGGCAGGGAAGGGGGCGCCGUGUUCCAGGUAAUGGGAGUAGCAGAUUUGAAGGCACGGAGACUCAGAGUGUGAUGAAUCCCUGCAGCGUGUCUAGUGGCGUGGCUGGGGCUUGGAGGAGCGAUGGGAGAGGAAGCUGGAGAGAGAGGAAGGAAGAAGGCAAAGCCUUUCCUCUGGUGACGCAGUGUGGGUGUAGGACCUCUGCAGGAGGGAGAUGUGUGGCUGAGUGCUUGCUGAAGUUCACUGGAGAGAACAGCACUCCAGGGUUUGCUUCUGGACUCAGCACGUGCCUGUAGAGGCGGUUCUGAAUGAACCACGUCAUCAAGAAGAAAUGCACGAAGCCUCUGCUCUGUUCAGGGCACCAUGACAGCGGUCCUGACCCUGGCGGUCCUGCCUGCUCCCCAGAGCCGUCCUGCUGCUCCUGAGCGGGCUAGAAAUCGUGCUGGUUGUCUUCCUCUGCAGUGAUGGUGUGAAAGGCUGCUCUUUGGGCUUUCGUGUCGUUUAGCAUGCUGGCCUCAGUCAGAGGAGUGUACAUCCCCUACAUUCAAUUUUGUAAUAAAGUUUUAAUUUUAGAAGAGCUCUCGGAUUACAGAAAAAUUGCAACAUAGGUACAGAGUUCGCGUGUACCCCACACCCAGUCCCCCUGUUGGUGAAGUCUUACAUGAGUCUGGUAUAUUUGUCACAGUGGGUGAAUCAAUUUUUGAAGAAUUACCUAUAUUUUAUUUCUUUAUUUCCAAACCUUCUUGCUAUGGCCUUUUCAGUUACCUUUGACAGUGGGAGGAACUCUUGUUUACUCAUGAUUCAGAAACUUGAGUCGAACCAAUAAUUUGAAUGGCCUCCCUCCCUGUGUUUUGGGGAUUGUUUUGUCCUAAACCCUGUUUCUUAUCUCCUGCAGAAAUCAUACAAUGGAUGCAGAAAAGAAAAAUGCUGCAGAGGAAAAUAAAUAUCAACUGGAAUUUUAUCAAGUCAAUAUGGCCCUGAUGUCAGUUAUAUUAUUUAAAAAGUGUUAUUACCUAGUAAAUGCAGUUUGUUAGACAGAAAUCUUUUUUUAAAAAUAGUUGCAUGGACGAUAAAUAAUGAAAAGACUCUUUUCUUUCGGUGAAAAGGUGGUGUAUCAUCGCCAGUGAUAACAGCCCUUUAUCCUCUGUGCCUCUAGAUAGCACUGAUUUUAUGCUGGCCUGUAAUUGACAAUCUAUACAGUUUGAAAUAAAAAAGUCUCUUCUGGUUAAAAUUA